CAUCUCCUCAUUGGUUUAUAGAAGCAGGUACCCACGUGCCAUCUCCUCAUUGGUUGUACCCACGUGGGUGAUUGAAAGACAAAAUGUUUUGCCGGUUGUUGUGGUAAAAGUGUAGAUGCCAAUCACCAUAUAAAUUCAAAGAUGAAAAAGCCUGGAAGCAGGAGAGAUGACUAGAAACGAUUCGGUUGGCCGUUUUAUGUGUGGAUUAAUUGUUGGAGUAGAGAACCUUCUGCAUUUCAGAUUCUUCAAAGUAGCCACCCUUUGCCUUGAUGACAGCUUUGCAAACUCUUGGCAUUCUCUCAACCAGCUUCACCUGGAAUGCUUUUCCAACAGCCUUCAAGGAGUUCCUGUGACGUCUACACCUGCUCCCCCUCUCCGGGGCUCUACAUCGCCAGUUUAUUCAUUAUUACGCACACCUGCCACCAUCGAAACGUGCACCUGCGCCUCUUGAGAUUUUACUCGUGUUCUUGUUUUGUCCUAUGUUCCGCUAUUUAUUAAAUUCACUCCCUGUACUUGCUUCCCAAUUCUUAGCAUACAUGUAACAGUUCCCACAUAUCCUGGGCAUUUGUUGGCUGCUUUUCCUUCACUCUGCGGUCCAACUCAUCCCAAACCAUCUCAAUUGGGUUGAGGUCGAGUGAUUGUGGAGGCCACUCCAUCCCUCUUCUUCUUGGACAAAUAGCCCUUACACAGCCUGGAGGUGUGUUGUGUCAUUGUCCUGUUGAAAAAUAAAUGGUAGUCCCACUAAGUGCAAACCAGACGGGAUGGUGUAUCGCUGCAGAAUGCUGUAGUCAUGACUUUACUUUCAUUAAUCUGAUGACUGUUAUAUUUAAUCAACUAACUUUGUUUAAUUGUUACCUGAUUAAAUUAAUAAUGUAACAAUUAACUCAUUAGGAAUUUGGGGCACCACAAGAGCAGUUGUUUAAAGAGUUACCAUCUCCCGAAUUAAACUCCAAAAGGUCUUUACCUAUUACAUCCAUAAAACAGUCAACGUAUUAAUCAUAACCUCGUAUCAUCAUCAUUCUGAACAGUUGUAACCUGCAUCUGCAAAAAACCCAGCCUUACUUAUGAUUCAG
rnacentral:lncRNA from 1 species